CAAGGAAUACUCAUGGUAAUAUUUCUGUCACAUCCCACACCAGAGCAUGUCAGUCUUUUUGUGUAUUAUUCACGACAGCAUAGAUCCCAGAGGAACACCAGGGAAGAUUUAGGAGGACUCUCAAAUACUCACCCAAGGGAAAUCACAACACGCUCUCUCAACCACAGCAUGGCAGAGAGCAAAGCCAGACCAAACUCCAACACACUGCUGAUCAGCAUCACUGAAAGGGCUCCCUAAAUUCAGGAGACAAGAGUGGGUGAAGAGGACAAACUAAAUCAACAAAGCUAGUUUC
rnacentral:lncRNA from 1 species